ACUUUCCUAGUAUAAAUAGUAUAUUUGGCUUCCAACCAAAAGGUUUGAUAUUCAAGGUAAGUA
rnacentral:tRNA from 1 species